AUAGAUGAACAGAAUGCUAUGUGAAGGCAGAAGAUUUUAAAGUGUUAUGAACCGCCCUGGAAUCCAUUUUGAAGGGUGGCAUAUUAAUAUAAUAAAUAAAUUCAAUAGGAGGACUGUACAUUUCCAAAAUUGCCAGCCAGCCAGCUGUUUAUCUCCCCUCAAUAUCCAUUGUACUGCUCAUUGAGUGGAGAAAAGUAACUGGCUGGGAAUGUGGGUGGUGUACCCAGACCUCCCUUAAAAGUUCUUUGGCAGUCUUCCUCAAGAAGCAGUGAUAAAACACAACUUGUGCCCCCAAAUCCUUUAGCUUCCUACCCAGAACCUUGGAGAUCUGUUCAAUAUUUCUUCUGAUUGCAGCAUUGGCUCACAAAUGGAUUGGCAAUAGAUUUCAAUCAGUGGGUUUUAUGAGUUUAAUCAACCUUUCCAUCAUAUCUUGAACACAUAUUCCAGGAAGGCAAUAUACCUCCUGAGAUGAUAUAUCAGGUCUGCACACAACUGCUUCUGACCCAUUACUUGGUGGACUUAGAAGUUUCGCUGGCUACAUAUAACUUGUGCUCUAACCUGUGUUGCUCAGUAUAUGCAGCUUGUCUGACAGAGUAACAGCCCUAUUCUGCUGCUCCAUUUGAUCCUUGCCUGUCCUGGUUAUGAAGUGAAAAUGGUGAGAACCUUGGGGAAAUGUGAGCAUAUCAUAUUGGAAUAUAUAAUAGCAAGGGAUGUAAAAACUGAGCAUAGUCAGAUAUAUACACUAGACUCUCGGAAAAUCAGUAUCAAAAAGCUCAAUAUCAAAAAUCGAUGUCAGAAAAGUUGGAUAGGCACAAUGACUAUAAAUUCUGAAGGUGUUCCAGAGGCAUGACAAAUUUUGAAGGCACGUUCCAGAAGUAUUCUAAUGGAAAGGAAAUUGGAGACAUCUAACGAAGCCUAUGUGACUGUAUAGGCCUACAGGGAGUUCUCUGAUGAGCUGAGGCAAAAAAACCCCCAUCAUAUAUAGGGGAUGAAAGUCUGGGAGAAACGCGGAAGACCACUGUAAUUUCGAGGAAUUUGCCGAUUCAUGACAGUAUAAUUUGUUUUUCACACACCUGUGUCAGGAGUUUCCCGGGUCCCCUGUGUUCUAAGUGCUGAUUGGCUAGUAGGGAGGAUACCCAGUUGCAGUGAAUUGGGCUGGAGACUCUCAGCUACUCCGCAUUAGUCACACCCAGUAUCCCGGGCUGAUCAUGAGUGAUGCCUGCUGACCAGGUGCAAUCAAUCAAAUCAAAGUUGGCUAUAAAAGCUGUAGGCUGAAGGGACUCAGGGAGCUUCUUCAUAGAUAGAGGUACCAGAUGCUGUGAGACUGUCGGCCAGGGUCUCUCUUGCUGCUUUACCUGGAGCUCCGGGCAGCUGAAGGCAAGAUUGUGUGUGACUUCUGUCUGGUAUGCUAUAAUUUGUGUUUUGUAUGCCUGCUGCUAUUUGUUAACCUUAUGCAAAUAAAUCAUUACUUAUUCUUUA